rnacentral:lncRNA from 1 species
CUGAAGAAAAGCCCAUCUGGGGAGAAAAAGUGAGGCAAUCCAAAAAGCCGCCAAGUGACCACAUUUCUGGAGUGCAUAUUUAUAAAAAACUUCCCACAGUAUUCCAAAGUAGAUGUGCCAUUUUAUCCUCCAAACAGCAAUGUAUUAGAGUUCCAGUGGUUUCCAAAGCCCCUGUCAACAUUUGGAUUGUCCGUCUUUUUUGAUUUUAGCCAUCCUAAUGGCAAAAGCCAUCUCCCAUGUAACCACAUGCUUCAGGAGAAGCUGACCCUACACCUAGCUCCACUGGUGAGUCUAAUUGGUCCAAGGGUCGUCUUGGUCCCUUUGCCAGAGAUUGGCUUAUGGGGUGAAUGAUCCAACUCCAGCCAAUGAAACAUUAGGGGAAUCUGCUGAAGGAUUUCCAAAAAGAGUUUCCUCAUUCCAAACAGAAAACCAUAAGAAAGGAAUGUCAUGCCUAUAAUUGCUGCAGCUAUUUUAAUUCCAAGUAUGAGGUUGAAACAAUCAUGGAUGGCCAAGUGAAGAGAUGGAAAAAGCAGGAUUCAGGAUAACUUUGUGAGUUGCUAAGUUACCAGCCCCUGCCCUACUUCUGGACUUCUGAAAUAUGAUAUGAUACUUGCUUUCUUACUUAAGUUGGGUUUUUCUGUUACUUAUAGCCAAUGACACUCCGAUAUGCCAUGAAAUUUAAGAAUGUGAAGUAAUGGCCUUGACUUUCGCAGAACUGGAAGGAGUGUGACUGCCAUGUCACUUACUGUCACUAUCACUUGUUUGACAAUUACGGCUGCUAUUUAUCUUACCUUGUGUUGUUGCUUAUCCUUCCAUAUGAUUAUGUUGAAUAUCCAUCUAAUCUGGAACUUUAAAAAAUCAAAGUCAGUGAUAGAUCUUUUACUUCUUUGUAGGCCCAUAAUCCAUUACAUAACCCACACAUUUUUGUCAAUUAUUGACUUCCCCCUUAUUCUACCCACAUAGAUUUUUUUGGAAGAUGACCAAAAUGCUAUCUCUAUUUGGAGAUAAUAAUUAGUCUCAUCUUCAUUGGCUUCUUCUCGAAUGCGGAGGGAAUUAUCGGAUGAGUACAUUGGAACAUGGUCGCCAUGUGGCCUGCUGCCCCCGUGUACCACUUGGAGACCAGCCUAGCAUGGAAAUGACCAGAUGUUGGAAGCUGAGCUACUGGAAUGGAAGCAGUGGCUCAACUCACAUCAGUACCCAGAUACACAGAUGCUCCGGGAUCUGAGGAAGUGACCUAUAGAAAAUGAAAAAUGACCAGGUAAAGGCAAUACGAAGGGAAGUAGAGGGGCUUAUUAGGCAGCUCUGGACAAGCAGAGAAAAGUGAUGGUUCAACACGUAGGGUGCGCCAAAAAUGGGCUUGUUUCACUGGUUAUUUGAACACAGAAGCAGGGCUGUCUCCCUCUCUCUCUCUCUUUCUCUCCAUUCAUUAAUUAUUUUUCUGAGUAGGCUAAUAAUAUAUGCUUUUUGUGAAACAUUUGAGAAAUGGAAGAAAGUAUAAGAAAAAAAUAAAAAUCACUUAUACAUGUAUCUUCUAAUAUUUCAUUAUAUCUAUACAGGCCCUUUUCUUUCUAGUUUUGUGAUCAUUUAUUCAGUCAACAUUUCCACAAAUAUUUAAUGCAUUUUGUAUGUGUCAGGCACCAUACCAGGCACUAAGAAUAUAGUCGUGAUCAAUAAUUGGCAUAAUUCCUUAUCUCAUAGAACUUUGGGUCUAGCAGAAGUGACAUAUAAACACACAACUGCAUUAAGAAUUAUUUAAUCUCAAAUUUCACAAGCUCUGCAAAGAACAAGUACUAAGUCUUCGGGAAGAAUUGGGAAGUCUGGAUGUAGGGAGUGAACCUAAAAGAAAAACUUUGAAGCUGAGACUAGACUAGUCAGAAACUGCUGGCCAGGGGUGAAUGUGUUGGUCCUAGAGGGGUAGAGUAGGGGCACGCUAGGAAUAGAAAGGAAAAUUGCUGGUGGAGGGAACAGCUUGCCUGAGGUCCUGAUGAGGAGACAGUGACUAGAUGGGGGUGAAAUGGCUUUGUGGAAAUUAGAAAGAAAAAUAGGAGCCAGAUCCUACAAGACAAGUGUUGACAAACAAUAGCCCAGAGGCCAAAUCCAGCACCCCACCUGUUUUUGUAAAUAAAAUUUUAUUGGAACAGAGCCACACCCACUCAUUUAUAUGUCUGUGGUUGUUUUCACACCAUGCUGGCAGUGAUGAAUAGUUGUUACAGAGACUGCAGGGUCCACAUAGCUUAAAAUAUUUACUAUCUGGCCCUUUCCAGAAAACUUUGCUGACCUCUGCUAUGGGGUUUUGUGGCUGAGCGUAUGGUGGAAUUCUUUUAUCACAAGUACAAUGGAAAGGCUUUGAGACGAAAGCAAGGAAGACAUCAUCAGAUUUUUCUUUAAAAGAACUCUAGCUAUGGAAGCAUGUAGAGAUUAGAACUGGGGACUCUGGGUGGAUAUUGGGCAUCUAAGAGUAUCCAGGAGACAGUGGUUGAUGGUUUGGACUCCAUUUGUG